UAAAUUUCAAGGCUCAACUUUGAAUUCGCCUGGAAAACUAAUAAACUGGAGUCUAGCAGAGGUGCAUGGAACUUGUGGUGUAGAAGUGAAAUCCGUUGAUAUCACAAGGGAACACCAAAGGGCGAAGGCAUUGCACUGGGCUAGCACUGACCCUGAGAGACGAAAGCGUGGGGAGCAAAACGGAUUAGAUACCCGUGUAGUCCACGCCCUAAACGAUGAAUGCUAAAUGUUCGGGGAUUCGACCCCCUGGGUGUUACAGCUAACGCGUUAAGCAUUCCGCCUGGGAAGUACGGCCGCAAGGCUAAAACUCAAAGGAAUAGACGGGGAUCCGCACAAGCGGUGGAGCGUCUGGUUUAAUUCGACAGUAAGCGUGGUACCUCACCAGGGUUUGACAUCCCUUGACAGCCUUGGAAACAAGGUUUCCUUCGGGCAAGGUGACAGGUGCUGCAUGGUCGUCGUCAGUUCGUGCCGUGAGGUGUUCCGUUAAGUCGGGAAACGAACGAAACCCCUAUUGCAUGUUACAAUUUCUCAUGCAAGACUGCCCGCAUAUACUGGGAGGAAGGUGGGGAUGACGUCAGAUCUGCAUGGUCCUUAUACCCUGGGCGACACAGGCGCUACAAUGGCAGAGACAAAGGGUUGCAAAACCGCAAGGUGAAGCUAAUCCCAAAAACUUUGUCUAAGUUCGGAUUGAAGGCUGCAAUUCGCCUUCAUGAAGCUGGAAUCGCUAGUAAUCGUGAAUCAGCCACGUCACGGUGAAUAUGUUCCCGGAUCUUGUACUCACCGCCCGUCACACCAAGAGAGUUGGUAGCUUCAGAAG
rnacentral:rRNA from 1 species